GACGAACGCUGGCGGCGUGCCUAAUACAUGCAAGUAGAACGCUGAAGGAGGAGCUUGCUUCUCUGGAUGAGUUGCGAACGGGUGAGUAACGCGUAGGUAACCUGCCUGGUAGCGGGGGAUAACUAUUGGAAACGAUAGCUAAUACCGCAUAAGAGUAGAUGUUGCAUGACAUUUGCUUAAAAGGUGCAAUUGCAUCACUACCAGAUGGACCUGCGUUGUAUUAGCUAGUUGGUGAGGUAACGGCUCACCAAGGCAACGAUACAUAGCCGACCUGAGAGGGUGAUCGGCCACACUGGGACUGAGACACGGCCCAGACUCCUACGGGAGGCAGCAGUAGGGAAUCUUCGGCAAUGGACGGAAGUCUGACCGAGCAACGCCGCGUGAGUGAAGAAGGUUUUCGGAUCGUAAAGCUCUGUUGUAAGAGAAGAACGAGUGUGAGAGUGGAAAGUCACACUGUGACG
rnacentral:rRNA from 1 species